rnacentral:rRNA from 1 species
GACGAACGCUGGCGGCGUGCUUAACACAUGCAAGUCGAACGGAAAGGCCCUGCUUUUGUGGGGUGCUCGAGUGGCGAACGGGCGAGUAACACGUGGGUAACCUGCCCUUGACUUUGGGAUAACUUCAGGAAACUGGGGCUAAUACCGGAUAGGAGCUCCUGCUGCAUGGUGGGGGUUGGAAAGUUUCGGCGGUUGGGGAUGGACUCGCGGCUUAUCAGCUUGUUGGUGGGGUAGUGGCUUACCAAGGCUUUGACGGGUAGCCGGCCUGAGAGGGUGACCGGCCACAUUGGGACUGAGAUACGGCCCAGACUCCUACGGGAGGCAGCAGUGGGGAAUAUUGCACAAUGGGCGGAAGCCUGAUGCAGCAACGCCGCGUGCGGGAUGACGGCCUUCGGGUUGUAAACCGCUUUCGCCUGUGACGAAGCGUGAGUGACGGUAAUGGGUAAAGAAGCACCGGCUAACUACGUG